rnacentral:rRNA from 1 species
UCCUUGGUUCCUGAGGGAAAAGGUGGCCUCUGCACGCAAGCUAUCACUCCUAGAUGAGCCCGCGGCCCAUCAGCUAGUUGGCGGGGUAACGGCCCACCAAGGCUACGACGGGUAGCUGGUCUGAGAGGACGAUCAGCCACACUGGAACUGAGACACGGUCCAGACUCCUACGGGAGGCAGCAGUGGGGAAUCUUGCGCAAUGGGCGAAAGCCUGACGCAGCAACGCCGCGUGUGUGAUGGAGGUCUUCGGAUCGUAAAGCACUGUCGGGAGGGACGAAUAAGGGCGGAGCUAACAUCUCCGUUCGAUGACGGUACCUCCAAAGGAAGCACCGGCUAACUCUGUGCCAGCAGCCGCGGUAAUACAGAGGGUGCUAGCGUUGUUCGGAAUUAUUGGGCGUAAAGCGCGUGUAGGCGGCCAUGCAAGUCGGGUGUGAAAGCCCUCAGCUUAACUGAGGAAGUGCGCCCGAAACUACUUGGCUUGAGUGCCGGAGAGGGUGGCGGAAUUCCCGGUGUAGAGGUGAAAUUCGUAGAUAUCGGGAGGAACACCAGUGGCGAAGGCGGCCACCUGGACGGCUACUGACGCUGAGACGCGAAAGCGUGGGGAGCAAACAGGAUUAGAUACCCUGGUAGUCCACGCUGUAAACGAUGAGCGCUAGGUGUUGCGGGUGUUGACCCCCGCAGUGCCGCAGCUAACGCAUUAAGCGCUCCGCCUGGGAAGUACGGCCGCAAGGCUA